rnacentral:rRNA from 1 species
GGAUUAGAUACCCUGGUAGUCCACACCGUAAACGCUGUCUACUAGCUGUUUGUGUAUUUUAUACGUGAGUAGCGAAGCUAACGCGCUAAGUAGACCGCCUGGGGAGUACGGCCGCAAGGUUAAAACUCAAAUGAAUUGACGGGGGCCCGCACAAGCGGUGGAGCAUGUGGUUUAAUUCGAUGCAACGCGAAGAACCUUACCUACACUUGACAUGCUGAGAACUUUCCAGAGAUGGAUUGGUGCCUUCGGGAACUCAGACACAGGUGCUGCAUGGCUGUCGUCAGCUCGUGCCG